rnacentral:rRNA from 1 species
UAAGGGCGCACGGUGGAUGCCUUGGCACUAGAAGCCGAUGAAGGACGUUACUAACGACGAUAUGCUUUGGGGAGCUGUAAGUAAGCUUUGAUCCAGAGAUUUCCGAAUGGGGAAACCCAGCAUGAGUUAUGUCAUGUUAUCGAUAUGUGAAUACAUAGCAUAUCAGAAGGCACACCCGGAGAACUGAAACAUCUUAGUACCCGGAGGAAGAGAAAGAAAAUUCGAUUCCCUUAGUAGCGGCGAGCGAAACGGGAAGAGCCCAAACCAACAAGCUUGCUUGUUGGGGUUGUAGGACACUCUAUACGGAGUUACAAAGGACGACAUUAGACGAAUCAUCUGGAAAGAUGAAUCAAAGAAGGUAAUAAUCCUGUAGUCGAAAAUGUUGUCUCUCUUGAGUGGAUCCUGAGUACGACGGAGCACGUGAAAUUCCGUCGGAAUCUGGGAGGACCAUCUCCUAAGGCUAAAUACUCUCUAGUGACCGAUAGUGAACCAGUACCGUGAGGGAAAGGUGAAAAGCACCCCGGAAGGGGAGUGAAAUAGAACCUGAAACCGUGUGCUUACAAGUAGUCAGAGCCCGUUAAUGGGUGAUGGCGUGCCUUUUGUAGAAUGAACCGGCGAGUUACGAUUUGAUGCAAGGUUAAGCAGUAAAUGUGGAGCCGUAGCGAAAGCGAGUCUGAAUAGGGCGUUUAGUAUUUGGUCGUAGACCCGAAACCAGGUGAUCUACCCUUGGUCAGGUUGAAGUUCAGGUAACACUGAAUGGAGGACCGAACCGACUUACGUUGAAAAGUGAGCGGAUGAACUGAGGGUAGCGGAGAAAUUCCAAUCGAACCUGGAGAUAGCUGGUUCUCUCCGAAAUAGCUUUAGGGCUAGCCUCAAGUGAUGAUUAUUGGAGGUAGAGCACUGUUUGGACGAGGGGCCCCUCUCGGGUUACCGAAUUCAGACAAACUCCGAAUGCCAAUUAAUUUAACUUGGGAGUCAGAACAUGGGUGAUAAGGUCCGUGUUCGAAAGGGAAACAGCCCAGACCACCAGCUAAGGUCCCAAAAUAUAUGUUAAGUGGAAAAGGAUGUGGCGUUGCCCAGACAACUAGGAUGUUGGCUUAGAAGCAGCCAUCAUUUAAAGAGUGCGUAAUAGCUCACUAGUCGAGUGACACUGCGCCGAAAAUGUACCGGGGCUAAACAUAUUACCGAAGCUGUGGAUUGUCCUUUGGACAAUGGUAGGAGAGCGUUCUAAGGGCGUUGAAGCAUGAUCGUAAGGACAUGUGGAGCGCUUAGAAGUGAGAAUGCCGGUGUGAGUAGCGAAAGACGGGUGAGAAUCCCGUCCACCGAUUGACUAAGGUUUCCAGAGGAAGGCUCGUCCGCUCUGGGUUAGUCGGGUCCUAAGCUGAGGCCGACAGGCGUAGGCGAUGGAUAACAGGUUGAUAUUCCUGUACCACCUAUAAUCGUUUUAAUCGAUGGGGGGACGCAGUAGGAUAGGCGAAGCGUGCGAUUGGAUUGCACGUCUAAGCAGUAAGGCUGAGUAUUAGGCAAAUCCGGUACUCGUUAAGGCUGAGCUGUGAUGGGGAGAAGACAUUGUGUCUUCGAGUCGUUGAUUUCACACUGCCGAGAAAAGCCUCUAGAUAGAAAAUAGGUGCCCGUACCGCAAACCGACACAGGUAGUCAAGAUGAGAAUUCUAAGGUGAGCGAGCGAACUCUCGUUAAGGAACUCGGCAAAAUGACCCCGUAACUUCGGGAGAAGGGGUGCUCUUUAGGGUUAACGCCCAGAAGAGCCGCAGUGAAUAGGCCCAAGCGACUGUUUAUCAAAAACACAGGUCUCUGCUAAACCGUAAGGUGAUGUAUAGGGGCUGACGCCUGCCCGGUGCUGGAAGGUUAAGAGGAGUGGUUAGCUUCUGCGAAGCUACGAAUCGAAGCCCCAGUAAACGGCGGCCGUAACUAUAACGGUCCUAAGGUAGCGAAAUUCCUUGUCGGGUAAGUUCCGACCCGCACGAAAGGCGUAACGAUUUGGGCACUGUCUCAACGAGAGACUCGGUGAAAUCAUAGUACCUGUGAAGAUGCAGGUUACCCGCGACAGGACGGAAAGACCCCGUGGAGCUUUACUGUAGCCUGAUAUUGAAAUUCGGCACAGCUUGUACAGGAUAGGUAGGAGCCUUUGAAACGUGAGCGCUAGCUUACGUGGAGGCGCUGGUGGGAUACUACCCUAGCUGUGUUGGCUUUCUAACCCGCACCACUUAUCGUGGUGGGAGACAGUGUCAGGCGGGCAGUUUGACUGGGGCGGUCGCCUCCUAAAAGGUAACGGAGGCGCUCAAAGGUUCCCUCAGAAUGGUUGGAAAUCAUUCAUAGAGUGUAAAGGCAUAAGGGAGCUUGACUGCGAGACCUACAAGUCGAGCAGGGUCGAAAGACGGACUUAGUGAUCCGGUGGUUCCGCAUGGAAGGGCCAUCGCUCAACGGAUAAAAGCUACCCCGGGGAUAACAGGCUUAUCUCCCCCAAGAGUUCACAUCGACGGGGAGGUUUGGCACCUCGAUGUCGGCUCAUCGCAUCCUGGGGCUGUAGUCGGUCCCAAGGGUUGGGCUGUUCGCCCAUUAAAGCGGUACGCGAGCUGGGUUCAGAACGUCGUGAGACAGUUCGGUCCCUAUCCGUCGUGGGCGUAGGAAAUUUGAGAGGAGCUGUCCUUAGUACGAGAGGACCGGGAUGGACAUAC